rnacentral:lncRNA from 1 species
UCCUCUUCCCAAAAGUGGAGACACAAAGCACAAAUCCCAUGUGUCAGUAUUCCCACUCUGGGACUGUUCUUUUAUAGAGCCGUCACACCUUUCUCUGAUAUACUUGCAUGUAGGGUGACUACAGGGUUGACUAUCCUGCUAAUGGUGGUGCUGGGAUGGGAAGAGGGAAAGAAAGAACUGACUGGUAGAGUUAGCUCGUAGAUACCGGUGUAUCUUACCAAAGCAGUGAGGAGACCACACAGAGCUGCUGCGUGCCCUGUUUUUGCAACCUGAUGAUCUGGCAGAAGUUUGUGUUUGAAAAUUCCUUUCUGCCACUGUUCCAUGUUCCUUUCCUUUGCCUCUCUGGGUGGUGGUUUUUCACCUGCGGAGUUAACCCAGCCCUCAUUCCUGAAAGGUCUUUCCCAUUAGAAAUCUUUCUUGUUUUGGGUAGCUGUAGGUUUCCAUUGACUUGUCCCUGGACUUAGGAAUACUAAGAGGUUCCCUAGAGAAUCCCGUAAAUUCCAGACCCUCCUCCCAGCCCCCCAAUCUGUGGUGGGAGCUAUAUUUCCCCAAGACAAUUGAGAACAGUCCCCUCGCCAUAGCAGUAAACUCUUCUGGCUCAUUGGCACAAGGCAUCCAGUGCGACUGGGUGGCAGCCUCUGCCUGCAGGGCAGUGGGCACCUCGUGUCCGUCUGUGGAAGCAUCUGUGGAAUGAAGACACCCAAACCAGCAGAGUCCAGAAUUGUGAGCAGAGAAUCCAAAACCUUGCUAGUUGUGCGGGGGCAUAAUGAGAGGAGCCAUUCCCGUUCCACGUGUGCCUCCACCCGUGUUUUCCAGCCAUGGGAGAACCCAUACCACUUGUUGACUGAUGGCUCGGAGUACAGGGCACAUCUUGGGCAACCCAGCAGCCUUCAAGGGGGGCCUUGUCACAGCCAGCACUGCCUGGUGCUUGGGAGGCUCCCCGAGGUAGUGGGGUGUGCGCCGGGAUCACGAUUGUCACAGGCCUCACUGCUGAGCUCUGCUGUCAGACAGGUCUCCUGGAAGCAGUACUGGAAGCAACUCGUGCAGCAGAUGAGGCUUCUGUGAGCCAGGUGCAGUGGCCAAGAGGCGUCUCUGUCCCUCCCAGAACACAUGGCCCGAUGUACUUGGGGGCUGGCUCUUCUUUCCAGUUGAGUUUUUCAUACUAGGAAUUGUGUUGGUGUCUCCCAUUAGCAGAUUUAUACAUUUAGCAGUGGACCUUAGCCAGACUAGCCUUGGAGUGAGGACGUCCAUGUGGUUGAAGCCAUUG